rnacentral:rRNA from 1 species
UACGAAGGGGGCUAGCGUUGCUCGGAAUUACUGGGCGUAAAGCGCACGUAGGCGGCUUUCUAAGUCGGGGGUGAAAUCCUGGAGCUCAACUCCAGAACUGCCUUCGAUACUGGAGCUUGAGUCCGGGAGAGGUGAGUGGAACUGCGAGUGUAGAGGUGAAAUUCGUAGAUAUUCGCAAGAACACCAGUGGCGAAGGCGGCUCACUGGCCCGGUACUGACGCUGAGGUGCGAAAGCAUGGGGAGCAAACAGG